GAUGAACGCUGGCGGCGUGCCUAAUACAUGCAAGUCGAGCGAACAGACGAGGAUCUUGCUCCUCUGACGUUAGCGGCGGACGGGUGAGUAACACGUGGAUAACCUACCUAUAAUACUGGGAUAACUUCGGGAAACCGGAUCUAAUACCGGAUAAUAUAUUGAACCGCAUGGUUCAUUGGUGAAAGACGGCUUUUCUGUCACUUAUAGAUGGUUCCCCGCCGGAUUAGCUAGUUGGUACGUUAACGGCUUUCCAAGGCAACGAUGCGUAGCCGACGGGAGAGGGUGAUCGGCCGCACGGGAAGUGGGACACGGUCCAGGCUCCUACGGGAGGCAGCAGUAGGGAAUCGUCCGCAAUGGGCGAAAGCCUGACGGAGCAACGCCGCGUGAGUGAUGAAGGUCUUCGGAUCGUAAAACUCUGUUAUUAGGGAAGAACAAAUGUGGACGUAACUAUGCACGUCUUGACGGUACCGAAUCAGAAAGCCCCGGCUAACUACGUG
rnacentral:rRNA from 1 species